rnacentral:rRNA from 1 species
GACGAACGCUGGCGGCGUGCUUAACACAUGCAAGUCGAACGGAAAGGCCCUGCUUUUGUGGGGUGCUCGAGUGGCGAACGGGUGAGUAACACGUGAGUAACCUGCCCUUGACUUUGGGAUAACUUCAGGAAACUGGGGCUAAUACCGGAUAGGAGCUCCUGCUGCAUGGUGGGGGUUGGAAAGUUUCGGCGGUUGGGGAUGGACUCGCGGCUUACCAGCUUGUUGGUGGGGUAGUGGCUUACCAAGGCUUUGACGGGUAGCCGGCCUGAGAGGGUGACCGGCCACAUUGGGACUGAGAUACGGCCCAGACUCCUACGGGAGGCAGCAGUGGGGAAUAUUGCACAAUGGGUGGAAGCCUGAUGCAGCAACGCCGCGUGCGGGAUGACGGCCUUCGGGUUGUAAACCGCUUUCGCCUGUGACGAAGCGUGAGUGACGGUAAUGGGGAAAGAAGCACCGGCUAACUACGU